AAGUCGUAACAAGGUUUCCGUAGGUGAACCUGCGGAAGGAUCAUUACAAGUUAAAAAGCUAUUCUAUCUAGCAGUUUCAGCUGUUAGGCUUAUAGCUUCUUUAAUCCCUUGUCCUUUUCUAUGCUAGUUUACAUUAUUCCUUUAGCAGCUAUGCUAGGUAUAAUAUAAUAACUACUUUGGAAUAUCAGUAUCAUAGUCUAAUAUGAAUAAUAAAAACUUUCAACAAUGGAUCUCUUGGCUCUA
rnacentral:misc_RNA from 1 species